AUUGAACGCUGGCGGCAUGCCUUACACAUGCAAGUCGAACGGCAGCACGGGAGCAAUCCUGGUGGCGAGUGGCGAACGGGUGAGUAAUAUAUCGGAACGUGCCCAGUCGUGGGGGAUAACGCAGCGAAAGCUGUGCUAAUACCGCAUACGAUCUACGGAUGAAAGCGGGGGAUCGCAAGACCUCGCGCGAUUGGAGCGGCCGAUAUCAGAUUAGCUAGUUGGUGAGGUAAAGGCUCACCAAGGCGACGAUCUGUAGCUGGUCUGAGAGGACGACCAGCCACACUGGAACAGAGACACGGUCCAGACUACUACGGGAGGCAGCAGUGGGGAAUUUUGGACAAUGGGCGAAAGCCUGAUCCAGCAAUGCCGCGUGCAGGAUGAAGGCCUUCGGGUUGUAAACUGCUCUUGUACGGAACGAAACGGUGAGCUCUAAUACAGCUUGCUAAUGACGGUACCGUAAGAAUAAGCACCGGCUAACUACGUGCCAGCCGCCGCCGUAA
rnacentral:rRNA from 1 species